AGAGUUUGAUCAUGGCUCAGGACGACGCUGGCGGCGUGCCUAUAACAUGCAAGUCGCACGCACAACUGUUAACCCGAUCCUGCUUGCAGGUGACGUUAAUGGACGUGAGUGGCGGACGGGUGAGUAACACGUGGGUAACCAACCCUGAAGCGGGGGAUAACCUUUGGAAACAGAGGCUAAUACCGCAUAGUUUAUCGCGACCUCCUGGUCGCAAUAAUAAAGACGGCUUCGGCUGUCACUUCAGGACAGACCCGCGGCGUAUUAGCUAGUUGGUGGGAUAAAGGCCUACCAAGGCGAUGAUACGUAGCCGACCCGAGAGGGUAAUCGGCCACAUUGGGACUGAGACACGGCCCAAACUCCUACGGGAGGCAGCAGUAGGGAAUCUUCCACAAUGGACGCAAGUCUGAUGGAGCAACGCCGCGUGAGUGAAGAAGGGUUUCGGCUCGUAAAACGCUGUUGUUGGAGAAGAACCGGGGGUAGAGUAACUGUUAUCCCCUUGACGGUAUCCAACCAGAAAGCCACGGCUAACUACGUGCCAGCAGCCGCGGUAAUACGUAGGUGGCAAGCGUUGUCCGGAUUUAUUGGGCGUAAAGCGAGCGCAGGCGGUUUUUUAAGUCUGAUGUGAAAGCCUUCGGCUUAACCGAAGAAGGGCAUCAGAAACUGAGAAGCUUGAGGACAGAAAAGGAAAGUGGAACUCCAUGUGUAGCGGUGAAAUGCGUAGAUAUAUGGAAGAACACCAGUGGCGAAGGCGGCUUUCUGGUCUGUUACUGACGCUGAGGCUCGAAAGUAUGGGGAGCGAACAGGAUUAGAUACCCUGGUAGUCCAUACCGUAAACGAUGAAUGCUAAGUGUUGGAGGCUUUCCGCCCUUCAGUGCUGCAGCUAACGCAUUAAGCAUUCCGCCUGGGGAGUACGACCGCAAGGUUGAAACUCAAAGGAAUUGACGG
rnacentral:rRNA from 1 species